AACGCUACUAUUUUCUUUAUUGAACUUAUACGGUUAUAGAUUUGUUGAGGAUACUGAUGGAAAUUCAAACAGACAGUGUUGAACCCGUGAAGAGUAAUACAUACAUGGAUGUCAAAGUCGUCUGACAUGGCUCUCGAGGCCCUUGAGAACUGUGAGGUUCCAGAUGGCUGUCUGAUGGUUUACAACAAUGGAAAUUUCUAUUGGAAAAGGAAGAAAUGAGGUCAAUAAAACAAAAAAUUAGAACACAGAGAAACUUUGGAAUAGAUGAAACGACCUCACGUCUGAGCCUGCUUUGCUCAAGGCUACUCGGCAUGCAGAAAUAGUGGCACUGGAUCAAGUGCUUGAUUGGUGCUGUUUCAGAGAGAAGGACCCAAUAGAGACAGACAUAGCUCUUGUUGUAUAUGGGUGCAAAAAUGAGCGGUUUGGAGGCUGUGGAUCCAUCCUGGACGUCUCAUCAGAUCAUUUACCACAUACUGGAACUUCAUAUAAGUGCAUCGCUGGCCAUAGAGCAGAAGAGGCUGUUAAAUACUAAAGACUUUUUAUAAACAGGAAAACCCAAAUGCUCUCAAACCUAAAGUGAGGAAAGAUUUGAUCAGUCCACCAGAUGGCGCUGGAGUCAUUCAGGUAAAACCAGGAUGACAAAAUUAGGGAAGAGAAACUUUGACACUCGUUUUGAGCUGAAAUGGAAAAUAUUUGAACAUUCAGACAUUUAUAAGACAUUGUGAUUUUUGAUUUUGCCAUCUUUUUGAGAUCACUGAUUUAAUCUACUAUUUGAGGUACCACGUUUGCUCAUUAUCUGGAUCACAUUGCUUGUAAACCUCCAGGCCUCCUCUUCUCUGUGGCUGGACACUGUUGUCUGAUAAAAGCAUGUAGAAGCAAAAGACUGGGCCUGUUCUGCAUUAAAGCAAAGGUUCUUCUCCAGCUCUCGCUCUCUCUGUGUCCUUAUACAACCCAGAGAACUGCUUCUGAACUCUCAAUGAUCUCAGUCUUGGGCUCAGUAGCAGAUGCAGGACAGACCCAGGAUUUAGAGUUUUCACUACUCCAUAGCCAGAAACUUUAAAGGGAUCAUUAAAAAAUAAUUUGUAUCAUUAUUUUCUAACUCUCCUUGGUUGUUUUCUUUAAUGGGACACAAAAGGUGAAUUUUAUAAAGAGUUUUUCAAUGAUCAAUUAGCGUCGCACAGCUGUAGGUCAUAGAUAGGUGCGUAGGAAAAAAGACUGAAAUAGUCAAAAUAUUAGAAAACAAGACAAUCCCGCACACUAUCAACUUGCAAAACAAUAAAAAAUAUAUAUUUUAAUAGCAACAUUUCGAUCGUAUGCUCUUCAUCAGGCAUCAACAUUGUAUUCAGACUCCAUUGUAUUUAAAACAACAUGACAAAUCACAGUGAAGAAUCAUCAAUAUCCAAUCAAGAUUUGUAAUUGAAUAAUCAUUAACAACACCGCAUUGUUAACUCCACAAUUACAUACAUCGUAAAUGCAAAAUAAAAUAAAAUAAAUAAAAAUAAUAUACAUAUAAAAUAAUAUUAUUAAUGAUAUCAUAUAUGUAAUAAUCAUAUUUCAUAACAUUCAUACCCAUAGGUGAUAAAGUCUGAAGGGUAAAAAUCCAGAACAAUUUGCAUCUCUGUAAGAGCAAUUCAAUAUCGCCCCCUCUGAUGAAGAUCAUCUGAUCAAAACGUUGCGAUUAAAAUAUUUUUUUUAUUGUUUUGCAAGUUGAUAGUGUGCAGGAUUUUCACGUUUUCUCAUAAAGAGUUUUUCAAAAACAUAUAUCCCCCCUUUUUUUUAGAUAAUUAAAGUGAAUGUAAAUAGAGGCUGACAAUCUUUAUAAUAGAAAAAAAGACUAUAAAAGUACCAUAAAACUGUAUACGAGUAGUCAUGCUUUGUUUACUUGUGUUUCCUGGAAGAUGGAAAGUCACACAGGUUUGGUAUGACAUGAGGGCGAGUAAAUAAUCACAAUCAAGUUUUUAGGUCAAGUUUUGAAGGUCUUUCCUUAGGUUUGCCAGGGUUUUUUUUUUUUCACAUACUAACUUGGAAAAAUACUCAAAAUACUACUUUCUUUGUUGCUUCUAUACAUACAAAUGUAAAUUAAAUAUUAUUUAUAUGCCACUAUAGUUUGUAUUGAUAUUUUGAAUCAGAAUUAAAACAAAUUCAAGAUAUGUUCCAUUUAAAUUUCAACUUCAGUUGAAUUUUUUGGGAGUUUUAUGUGCUUCUCUGUUAUUUUCAUUAUUUGUAUUUUAUUUUUAAUAUUAACAUUUAGAUCUGUUUUUGUUGUUGUUUUUGUUUAUUUCCAGUCAGUCGAUGCCAAUGCAGCAUUUCUUAUUUUCACUGAGUUUAGUCUUAAUUUCUAAAGUUUUUUCUUAUUAGUUUUAGUUUACAAUACUAAUCCUGAUCCGCAGACUUCCACUUGUUUUGAAAGUAUUCAUGUCAUGUUGCGUUUCUGGUUAUUAAAGCUCCAAUCAGAAUGGUUCCCAAACCCCAUGUUAUUAAAUUGCCAUGUAAUCUGUUAUUAGUGGCUGGAAGUGGGUUCUCUGCGGGUACGUAUGAAAGAGCAAUCAAGCGGUUCUGGAAGUAGAUGAGAGGUGUAUGAGAUGUUUAGGUCUGUCGUUUUUCAAGGUCUGUCAUCUUCUGUGGUUAGGGGUUCUGCCGGCCAUAUCAUAUAUUUAAAAAAUAUCCUCGGUCAGUUCCAGCUCUGUUAUUGUCAUUGUAAGCAGAGAAUCCAUGGGUUUUAUUGUUUUGUGAUGAAUGAUCAGACAUUGAGCACUCACAGCUGGCUUUUUUAAUAUGACUGUUCUAUCCUGAUGUUGAAAUGACAGGAGCUGUCACGGCUGAAUAAAAAUAAUCAUUUAAAUUUGUUCGUGUAAAUGGCAUGGUCUUAGUAUCUUAUUCCAAACAUCAGAGCACUGGUCACACACCUGGUAAGCAUUUGACAGGUGUUAUGCCUUGGCAGCGUUACGCAGUGAGUCAGUGCGAAUAAAGAACAUCAUAAAACUAGCUGCAACCACCUACGCUGUCCCUGUUCACAUGGAAUGAGAACAAAUGGUAUUUCAUAAAGUUUCAUUCAGCUUUUAAUAGAGUGAAAUAAAGUGUUGAAUUCAUGUGGGUGACCGGUAUAUUUCAUAAUAGAUUUUCCAAUGUACAUUUUUUUUUUGUCUGAGGUGAAUCGUAGGUUUGUAUAAUCUCACAGAGGGCUUGGGAAAGCUCACGGAGAUUAGGACACAAGGCGUUUUAUUCUACAAGUAAGCAAGGAUUUAUUUUUAAACUUAGUGUUUUUUCAUUAUUUACAGGAGAAAAGGGUACAUGAAAGCUGGAUUCUUCUAGUUUUUCUUUAGUCUGAAAGUCAGCAAGUCCUGUUUGUUAACCGUUUUACUUCUUCAUUCGGCUUUUUUUGUGAGGGAAACGGGAUAUUCAGUGGAAAUUGAAAGGAUUGUGAAAAGGCAAGUUUUGCACAUCCACAUGUGAACUUGCUGAAAAAGAACAAAUUUGCUAAAUAGCUAUUGGCUAACAUUUUUCAAUUGCCUUUGUGGCCCAAGUGACAUUAAUGGAAAAAGACAUUCAUUUCGGAGAAA